GACGUAGGGCGCGAGCGUUGUCCGGAUUUAUUGGGCGUAAAGAGCUCGUAGGCGGCUUGUCGCGUCGGCUGUGAAAACCCGCGGCUCAACUGUGGGCGGGCAGCUGAUACGGGCAGGCUGGAGUUCGGCGGGAGGAGCUGGAAUUCCUGGUGUAGCGGUGAAAUGCGCAGAUAUCAGGAGGAACACCGGUGGCGAAGGCGGCUCACUGGCCCGGUACUGACGCUGAGGUGCGAAAGCGUGGGGAGCAAACAGG
rnacentral:rRNA from 1 species